ACGGAGAUUAACUUCGGUUAAUUUUAGUGGCGGACGGGUGAGUAACACGUGAGAAUUCGCCUUUAGGAGGGGGAUAACGGAUGGAAACAUUCGCUAAAACCCCAUAUGCCCCUGGGUGAAACAGAGGAGAUAAGUAAUACUGACUCUUACCUCUGCCUGAAGAGAAGCUCGCGGCUGAUUAGCUAGUUGGUAGGGUAAAGGCCUACCAAGGCGACGAUCAGUAGCUGGUCUGAGAGGACGAUCAGCCACACUGGAACUGAGACACGGUCCAGACUCCUACGGGAGGCAGCAGUGAGGAAUUUUCUGCAAUGGGCGAAAGCCUGACAGAGCAAUACCGCGUGAGGGAUGAAGACUUACUGAGUUGUAAACCUCGGUACCUUAAGGAAGAAGAUCUGACGGUACUUAAGGUGGAAAGCAUCGGCUAACUCCGUGCCAGCAGCCGCGGUAAGACGGGGGAUGCAAGUGUUAUCCGGAUUUACUGGGCGUAAAGCGUCUGCAGGUGGUUUUCUAAGUCUACUGUUAAAUCUUGAGGCUCAACCUCAAAUCUGCAGUAGAAACUAGAAGACUUGAGUAUAGUAGGGGUAGAGGGAAUUUCCAGUGGAGCGGUGAAAUGCGUAGAUAUUGGAAAGAACACCGAUGGCGAAGGCACUCUACUGGGCUAUUACUGACACUCAGAGACGAAAGCUAGGGGAGCAAAUGGGAUUAGAUACCCCAGUAGUCCUAGCCGUAAACGAUGGAUACUCCGAUGUUGGGACCGUAUCCACCCGUUCAGUAUCUUAGCUACACGCGUUAAAG
rnacentral:rRNA from 1 species